UACGAAGGGGGCUAGCGUUGCUCGGAAUUACUGGGCGUAAAGGGCGCGUAGGCGGACAGUUAAGUCAGAGGUGAAAGCCCAGGGCUCAACCCUGGAAUAGCCUUUGAUACUGGCUGCCUUGAGUGCGGGAGAGGUGUGUGGAACUCCGAGUGUAGAGGUGAAAUUCGUAGAUAUUCGGAAGAACACCAGUGGCGAAGGCGACACACUGGCCCGUAACUGACGCUGAGGCGCGAAAGCGUGGGGAGCAAACAGG
rnacentral:rRNA from 1 species